UUACGGUCACACCACGUUGAAAUAUCGGUUCCCGUACGAUCACCGACGUUAAGCAACGUCAAGCCUGGUCAACACCUAGAUGGGUGACUACUUGGGAAUACCGGGUGCUGUAAG